rnacentral:rRNA from 1 species
UACGUAGGUGGCAAGCGUUAUCCGGAAUUAUUGGGCGUAAAGAGCGCGCAGGUGGUUAAUUAAGUCUGAUGUGAAAGCCCACGGCUUAACCGUGGAGGGUCAUUGGAAACUGGUUGACUUGAGUGCAGAAGAGGAGAGUGGAACUCCAUGUGUAGCGGUGAAAUGCGUAGAUAUAUGGAAGAACACCAGUGGCGAAAGCGGCUCUCUGGUCUGUAACUGACGCUGAGGUUCGAAAGCGUGGGUAGCAAACAGG